rnacentral:rRNA from 1 species
CACCGCGGUUAUACGAGAGGCCCGAGUUGACAGACCACGGCGUAAAGAGUGGUUAGGGAUUUUUUCUCAAACUAGAGCCGAACGCUCUCAGAGCCGUCAUACGCUCACGAGAGUAUGAAGCCCAACAACGAAAGUGGCUCUAACCCUACCUGAACCCACGAAAGCUAAGAAA